GGGCCUGUAGUGCAGCGGUAACACGCGCCCAUGGCAUGGGUGAAGUGCGGGUCCGACUCCCGCCAGGUCCA
rnacentral:tRNA from 1 species